rnacentral:rRNA from 1 species
GUGCCAGCCGCCGCGGUAAUACGGGGGGUGCGAGCGUUGUCCGGAUUCACUGGGCGUAAAGGGCGCGUAGGCGGCCGGGUCAGUCGGGCCUGUAAGUGCGGGGCUCAACCCCGUGAUGGGCUCGGGACGGCCCGGCUGGGGCGCGGUCGAGGGAGACGGAAUGCCGGGUGUAGUGGUGAAAUGCGUAGAGAUCCGGCGGAACACCGGUGGUGAAGACGGUCUCCUGGGCCGAGGGCCGACGCUGAGGCGCGAGAGCGUGGGGAGCGAACCGGAUUAGAAACCCUUGUAGUCC